UCCAUCUGUGACAAAGAGGCCAUUGGUGGUGGUGGAGGAGGUCUUCUGGCUAAUCUACAGGAUUAUAUGGCAUUUGUAAAGGGAAAACCUUUAUUAGUUAAAUAGCACUUUUCAUGACAAAAUCUCAAAAUAAAAACUAAUUUGGGGGGGUUGGUCAUUGUGUGUGUGUGUGUGUGUGUGUGUGUGUGUGUGUUGUGUUUUACUUUUAUUUUUGCCAUGAAAUAACUCAUUGUUUGAAUUUAUCCUUGCUGGCUCCAGAGGAAAGAUGAGAUUUGAAUUUUGAUCCCACCAGUGAGCUGGAGGCACAACGGAAUGGCAGCCUAGAACAAGCAGUAUAAGAAAAGCACCAUUUAUGGGCAGGUGUUGGCUGGGCUCCAUGAAGGCGUUUCAGGGCUACACAUGGAAGGCACUCCUGGUGUAUCUACGAGAAUGCAGGAGAUCCCUACCAAGCAGGUAGUCAAAUUCCAAGCCUCACGCCCCACCUGCCCCUUGUGUUCCUCACUGCUUUCGAAUAACUACAGCUGUGUUAUAACUGCAGAGCCUCCCAGUGUGGACAGAGACACUUUCUUCACCCUCUGCUUUGGGGCUUAGACAUAUGACCGUGUGACUUGCUUUUGCCAAUGGGAUGGCCGCAAACAUCAAACAUACACAGAGGCUUAAACACACUUUUGGGAUUUGGUUUUUGCAUGCCUGAGGUCCACCAGGAGUAGAACAGGAAGGAAACCUGUGGAGUCAACAUGAACACGACUCAAAACACGAAGCCAAGCCCAGCUGCUCCUAGUCAAGUCCUGCGGACCCACAGCCAACCCAUGAGCAAGGAAAUGAGUGGUAUUUGUUGUAAGCCACUGAAGAAAUGCCAUUAGUGAUAUAAGUCACUUCGAGCUUUGAGGUUGAUUAAUCAAAAGUUAAUUGAUACUCAACAUUUAUACUAUGUACCCUCCAUGUAAAUUCAUAAAAAAAAAAAUAAACUAAUUUAGAAUAAGAGUGAUAACAAAGAACUGAGUGGGAAAUUUAGAAUUUUGUACACUGGAAUUGCCCAGACUCUGCUGAAGUCAUCAUAUCUCUACCUGCUUAUUCCAUGAUGACAACCCCAAAAUCUACUUUACUAUUCCCAGAAGAGCACAAAUGACUUAGCGUAAGCUGUCUGUUGGAUCCCUGUCAUCUAAAAGCCAGGACUUAUACACAAGACAGUAUCUUUUGCUUGAAUCAGUUGUCUCCUUUUCAGAAAGCUGCUCUAAACUUCUGACCCUUUGUCAAUGCUUAACCUUGAAGGCUUUCUCAAUUCUUUCACUGGUGUGUGCCUCAGUUUCCCUGUUCCGAGAGUAUCGCUAUCAGCUUCCAUCCUGUGUUCCCUUAUUCUACUGUUAAAGGAGAGUUGAUGUGGUUAGUUUUGAGCAGCAUGAGAUCACGAGUUGAAGAGGUCAGGGAAAGAUUCAUGGGCACAAAUCAUAAAGGGAUUGAGUGGGUUUUGAAGAAAAGAUAAGCUUUGGAUGCAUAAAGGAGAAUACACAGGGGUCUCCUUUCUAGCUUGUGAAAUAGAAAAUCACUUUUAAGACCCCCAAAGGGAAAUCAAUGGCUUCCUCCCCCAUGGAGAAACUUUCCUGUCUUAACGGGAACAACAUAAAUAACACUUCUAUUAUAAGAAAGGAUCGGACUCUUAUUAAGACCCAUAAAUCAACAGUUAUUUUAUUUUCACAAAGCAACCCCCAAAUGUAAUUUUAAAGUGAAAGCAUAUUUUAAAGGGCAUGUGGGUAUAUAUAAUUUAUAUUUCUCUAUAUAAAUAUGGUACUGAGAUAUCUACUUACAUUUGAAUAAUUAUUAGGACAAUACCCUGUUUUGCCAUGUAAAUGGCAAAGAGAGAAAGUGUCUGCUUCUAGAGAAGGGGGAUUUAAAGACUCAGCCUUACAAGUGUCUACUACGUUAUGAUAUUUCCUUUUGAUUAUCCGUAAUUUUUUGGCGUGUGUACUAUAGGUAUUCACACUUUCCAAGAGUUAACUCUGUCUGUAGAAUACUCCUGGGAAAGGGAGCAUUUCUGCUUAUUUCUGCUUAAAAUUUUACUCAAGAUUUUAAUGCAUUAUCUUUACAAAAUAAAAACGCCCAUUCGUUUACCAUUUAAAACAGAUUAAGAAACAUAUUUAUUAACUAUAGCAACAAAAAGUCUUCAAUUAAAGUGUGUGAAAACAGCUGGACCAAUAAAGUGUGUGAAAAUGGGACCAACCCGACAUUUAACUAGGUAGCUUGGCUGCUUUUUCGUCCUUCUUUAUUUCAUAUUCUUGUUCGUCACUCACCUAGAAAUUUCUAAUUAUGAGGAAUGCCUUCAUUUAAGAAUACUUAAAAAUUCACCUCAAAAUGAUUACACUGUUGUCUUUAUAUGUUCAAAUAACCUAGGAGCUAUACUUGAUUUUUUUCCCAUUCUCUGCAUCAUUCCAGAAAGUUACCAGAAUGACGAUAUCUUCUCAGAUGAAAAUACCACAUCUGUUCAGGGAAGGAAAAGCAGAAACACUGCUAAGCUAGUUAUUGGACAUAACAGAGACAAAAAUAAAUAUAAAAACUAUUCGAUUAAAGAAUUUAUUUGUUGUCUAUUGAUGUUCACAUGGUUUAGGAGAACCCAAGUGCCUAUGUUAAAUAUAUCUUCAAAAGACAAAAUCCUAGACCGCUUUAAACACAAAUGGAUGCAGCAUAAGUAUACGUCUCAUAACUGUGGAGUCAAAUACUUAAUUACCAGUCUAAUUGCUGUCGACUAACAUAAUGGCAGUAGGGAUCACACAGUGCUGAAGGAUUUAGAACAUAUUUUACUUUACUAAUACUGUGGGGUGUCAUAAAACAACAUCCCUAUAAAUCAAUUUCUUUAGAAAGAAAGGCUACAUUUUACGUGGGCAUUUUUAAGUCUCUGAACGCAAACUGUUAGGGAAAAGUGCAUCCAUUUAUAUCUAUCCUUACACAUAUCCCCGCAGAAAAUGUGCCGUGUCUCCAGAAUCAAUCCCAGCAAAUAGAGUUUAUAUUCAUAUUCUGCCUGUCUGAUCUUGUGUGGCAGAGUAAAUAGAAGGGGAAAGCUGAGGCUCCAAAGCUAAUUAGUUUCUAGAAAAUUGCCUAUUCUCUCUUUCUCUGAGCCUCCUUAAAGGAGUGAAUCUCCCAGGGAUCCUGCGAGCAAUUAUGACAUUAAGAGUAUUCUGCUUGUCAGGACCACCUGGGUGACUCAAUCAGUUAAGCGUCCGACUUCGGCUCAGGUCAUGAUCUCACGGUUUGUUGGUUCGAGCCCCACGUCUGGCUCUGUGCUGACAGUCCGGGGCCUGGAGCCUGCUUCGGAUUCUGUGUCUCCCUCUCUC